rnacentral:rRNA from 1 species
UACGUAGGGGGCAAGCGUUGUCCGGAAUCAUUGGGCGUAAAGAGCACGUAGGCGGCCCGGUAAGUCCGCUCUGAAAGUCAGAGGCUCAACCUCUGGAGGCGAGUGGAUACUGCCGGGCUAGAGUCCGGAAGAGGCGAGUGGAAUUCCUGGUGUAGCGGUGGAAUGCGCAGAUAUCAGGAGGAACACCAAUAGCGAAGGCAGCUCGCUGGGACGUUACUGACACUGAGGCGCGAAAGCGUGGGGAGCGAACAGG